rnacentral:rRNA from 1 species
UUCCAGCACCACCCCACGCCGGAUGCAGCUCUGGCCGAGCCGGUUCCAGCACCGCCCCAUGCCGGAUGCAGCUCUGGCCGAGCCGGUUGCAGCUCGAGGCCGAGCCGGUUCCAGCACCGUCCCACGCCGGAUGCAGCUCUGGCCGAGCCGGUUGCAGCUCGAGGCCGAGCCAGUUCCAAAAUCUUGCGCUGGUCGCAGCAUCUUGGGGCCAUGCGUCCCCGCCGUCCACCGUUGAAGCUUCCCCGGCGCCACGACGAUGAAGAAGGGGAGGAGCGCGGCCAUGGCUAUGGAUCUGGCGCCAUGGGAGAAGAGGAGGUUGGGGCCGAGCGCUGCAACAAAAAAACGUCGGUGAUGACGGUGGGGGCGAACGGCAGCACGACAACAGAGUAUAUUGGCCUGAGCACGGGAAGAAACUCGUCGGCGGCGAACACCGGAAGCGAGCUAGAGAGAGGUUGGAGAUAAAGAGAUAAGGUUAGUGAGUGGGCAGCACAGCUCGCUCUUACCUGUUCCUUUCGUCACGCGUGUGUGAUGGGCACCAGGCACGUGGGCCAGCAAACGACAUGAAAGCCUCACGUGGCGAAGAGAUAAGGGAAAAAGGACUCAGCCGGCACAUGUGUGUCCGUGUGGGACCACCCCACGACGCGCGCGUGCGUGUGACCGGCCGAAGUUUCGGCCGGCGCGCCGGAUACAAGCGUUUCCCUUUGCCUUGUCAAUCUCUUGGACACCUCGACCCCGAUAUGGAGUGCCACC